CCUACGGGUGGCAGCAGUGAGGAAUAUUGGUCAAUGGGCGCGAGCCUGAACCAGCCAAGUAGCGUGAAGGAUGACUGCCCUACGGGUUGUAAACUUCUUUUAUAAAGGAAUAAAGUGAGGCACGUGUGCCUUUUUGUAUGUACUUUAUGAUUAAGGUCCGGCUAACUCCGUGCAAGCAGCCGCGGUAAAAAGGAGGAUCCGAGCGUUAUCCGGAUUAAUUGGGUUUAAGGGGAGCGUAGAUGGGUUGUUAAGUCAGUUGUGAAAGUUUGCGGGUCAACCGUAAAAUUGCAAUUGAUACUGGCAGUCUUGAGUACAGUUGAGGUAGGCGGAAUUCGUGGUGUAGCGGUGAAAUGCUUAGAUAUCACGAAGAACUCCGAUUGCGAAGGCAGCUUACUAAACUGCCACUGACAUUGAUGCUCGAAAGUGUGGGUAUCAAACAGGAUUAGAUACCCGAGUAGUC
rnacentral:rRNA from 1 species